UACGGAGGGGGCUAGCGUUGUUCGGAAUUACUGGGCGUAAAGCGCACGUAGGCGGCUUUGUAAGUUAGAGGUGAAAGCCCAGGGCUUAACCCUGGAAUUGCCUUUAAGACUGCAUCGCUAGAAUCGUGGAGAGGUGAGUGGAAUUCCGAGUGUAGAGGUGAAAUUCGUAGAUAUCGGGAGGAACACCAGUGGCGAAGGCGGUUGCCUGGGGCUUUGCUGACGCUGAUGCGCGAAAGCGUGGGGAGCGAUCCGG
rnacentral:rRNA from 1 species